AUUGAACGCUGGCGGCGUGCCUAACACAUGCAAGUCGAGCGGCAGCGGGCCCGCAAGGGUGCCGGCGAGCGGCGGACGGGUGAGCAAUACAUAGGAAUCUGCCUUAGAGCGGGGGAUAGCCAGGGGAAACCCUGAUUAAUACCGCAUGAUGUCGAGAGACCAAAGUGGGGGAUCGUAAGACCUCACACUCUAAGAUGAGCCUAUGUCGGAUUAGCAGUUGGCGGGGUAACGGCCCACCAAGGCGACGAUCCGUAGCUGGUCUGAGAGGACGAUCAGCCACACCGGAACUGAGACACGGUCCGGACUCCUACGGGAGGCAGCAGUGGGGAAUAUUGGGCAAUGGGCGCAAGCCUGACCCAGCGACGUCGCGUU
rnacentral:rRNA from 1 species